AAAACCCCCCCCCGCUUCCCCCCCCGCCAAGCGCCCCCGCCCCGGGGCAUCACACCGGGCGACCCCCCCCCCCAUGGCAGGAGACCCGGGGGAGCUUUGUGAAAAGCUUUCUACCAGCCGAGUUGUUUGGGAAUGCAGCUCAAAAUGGGUGGUAAAUGCCAUCUAAGGCUAAAUAUUGGGGAGAGACCGAUAGCGAACAAGUACAGUGAUGGAAAGAUGAAAAGAACUUUGAAAAGAGAGUUAAACAGUACGUGAAAUUGCCAAAAGGGAAGGGUAGGAGGUCAGAGAUGCGGCCUGGGAUUCAGCCUUGCUUUUGCUUGGUGUUUUUCCCAGAUUGC
rnacentral:rRNA from 1 species